AUGCACGCUGGCGGCGUGCCUCAUCCCUGCAAGUCGAGCGCACAGACGAGGAGCUUGCUCCUCUGACGUUAGCGGCGGACGGGUGAGUAACACGUGGAUAACCUACCUAUAAGACUGGGAUAACUUCGGGAAACCGGAGCUAAUACCGGAUAAUAUAUUGAACCGCAUGGUUCAAUAGUGAAAGACGGUUUUGCUGUCACUUAUAGAUGGAUCCGCGCCGCAUUAGCUAGUUGGUAAGGUAACGGCUUACCAAGGCAACGAUGCGUAGCCGACCUGAGAGGGUGAUCGGCCACACUGGAACUGAGACACGGUCCAGACUCCUACGGGAGGCAGCAGUAGGGAAUCUUCCGCAAUGGGCGAAAGCCUGACGGAGCAACGCCGCGUGAGUGAUGAAGGUCUUCGGAUCGUAAAACUCUGUUAUUAGGGAAGAACAAAUGUGUAAGUAACUAUGCACGUCUUGACGGUACCUAAUCAGAAAGCCACGGCUAACUACGUG
rnacentral:rRNA from 1 species